ACUUGUGCUCUCCCGAUGUCAGAGAUGUCCUUACCAAACUGGAAAGGAAGGUGAAAUGUUCCCUUUUUUAGCCAAAAAACCCUUCUCAAAGACACCUCCAG